rnacentral:rRNA from 1 species
UAGAGUUUGAUCCUGGCUCAGAAUCAACGCUGGCGGCGUGCCUAACACAUGCAAGUCGAACGAGAAAGUGGAGCAAUCCAUGAGUAAAGUGGCGACCGGGUGAGUAACACGUGACUAACCUACCUCCGAGUGGGGAAUAACUCCGGGAAACCGGGGCUAAUACCGCAUAACAUCGUGAGAUCAAAGCAGCAAUGCGCUUGGAGAGGGGGUCGCGGCUGAUUAGCUAGUUGGUGAGGUAACGGCCCACCAAGGCUUUGACGGGUAGCUGGUCUGAGAGGACGACCAGCCACACUGGGACUGAGACACGGCCCAGACACCUACGGGUGGCAGCAGUCGAGAAUUUUUGACAAUGGGGGAAACCCUGAUCGAGCGACGCCGCGUGGAGGAUGAAGGUCUUCGGAUUGUAAACUCCUGUCAUUGNGGAACAAGUCGCUUACGUUAACUGCGUGAGCGUUGAUAGUACCCGAAGAGGAAGAGACGGCUAACUCUGUGCCAGCAGCCGCGGUAAUACAGAGGUCUCAAGCGUUGUUCGGAUUCAUUGGGCGUAAAGGGUGCGUAGGCGGCGCGGGUAAUCGGGUGUGAAAUCUUGGAACUAAACUCCAAAACUGCAUUCAAUACUGCCGUGCUUGAAGACUGGAAAGAAAAUGGAAUUUUCGGGGUAACCGGGAAAUGCUUAAAUUCCUAAGGAAAAACAGUGGCAAAGGGGGUCCUCUGGACAGUUCCUAACCUUGAGGCCAAGGGCCGGGAACAAACGGGUUUAAAUACCCGGAACCCUAACAUUAACCGUGCCCUUGUGGUUGGGAGAUUCGACCCUUUUGCGCGGGACUAACUGUAAAGGUGCGCCUGGGGAAGCGGCCG